rnacentral:rRNA from 1 species
AGAGUUUGAUCCUGGCUCAGAACGAACGCUGGCGGCAGGCCUCAAACAUGCAAGUCUAGGGGGUGUAGCAAUACAUCACCGGCGGACGGGUGCGUAACACGUGGGAAUAUACCUUUUGGUUCGGAACAACGCAGGGAAACUUGCGCUAAUACCGAAUGUGCCCUUACGGGGAAAGAUUUAUCGCCAAAGGAUUAGCCCGCGUCCGAUUAGCUAGUUGGUGAGGUAAUGGCUCACCAAGGCUCCGAUCGGUAGCUGUUCUGAGAGGAAGAUCAGCCACACUGGGACUGAGACACGGCCCAGACUCCUACGGGAGGCAGCAGUUGGGAAUCUUGGACAAUGGGGGAAACCCUGAUCCAGCCAUGCCGCGUGAGUGAUGAAGGCCUUCGGGUUGUAAAACU